UUGGUGAGCGUGUUAACAGGGGUGACACAAAGUGGUAGCUGCUGCACACCGGUGGUUGUGUGUGUCUAAGCGUGUGGCCUGUUCCUAGGUAAACCCGGGAACGUGAUAGGUGAGGCGUGAUGGGAAUCCCUUUUGUGGGGUUUAGUGGUGAGCCUGUUUUGUCAAGAAAAGCCUCGACGUGAGGGUCAAAGCCGCCCGUACCUAAACCGACACAGGUAGUUAGGUAGAGCAUACUAAGGCGUACGAGUGAAUCGUGGUUAAGGAACUCGGCAAAAUACCCCCGUAACUUCGGAAGAAGGGGGACCCCUGAGAGUGAUCCAUCCAUGCGGUGGUGAGCGUUUGGGGGUCGCAGAGGAUAGAGAGAAGCGACUGUUUACUAAAAACACAGGUGCGUGCUAAGCCGUAAGGCGCUGUAUACGCACUGACGCCUGCCCGGUGCUGGAAGGUUAAGAGGAAAGGUCAACACGCUCUUGAGUGUGUGAAGCUUUGAAUUGAAGCCCCAGUAAACGGCGGUGGUAACUAUAACCAUCCUAAGGUAGCGAAAUUCCUUGUCGGGUAAGUUCCGACCUGCACGAAUGGCGUAACGACUUCUCUACUGUCUCAACCACGAGCUCGGUGAAAUUGCACUACGAGUAAAGAUGCUCGUUACGCGCAGCAGGACGGAAAGACCCCGGGACCUUUACUAUAGCUUGGUAUUGGUGUUCGUUAGUGUUUGUGUAGGAUAGGUGGGAGACUGUGAUACUGGCACGCUAGUGUUGGUGGAGUCAUUGGUGAAAUACCACUCUGAUAUUAAUGUGCAUCUAACCUUGAAUCCUUAUCGGGUUUGGGGACAGUGCCUGGUGGGUAGUUUAACUGGGGCGGUUGCCUCCUAAAUGGUAACGGAGGCGCUCAAAGGUUCCCUCAGCCUGGUUGGUAACCAGGUGUUGAGUGUAAGUGUAAAAGGGAGCUUGACUGUGAGACUGACAAGUCGAGCAGGGACGAAAGUCGGAACUAGUGAUCCGGCCACGGCUUGUGGAAGCGUGGUCGCUUAACGGAUAAAAGGUACCCCGGGGAUAACAGGCUGAUCCUGCCCAAGAGUCCAUAUCGACGGCAUGGUUUGGCACCUCGAUGUCGGCUCGUCGCAUCCUGGGGGUGGAGUCGCUCCCAAGGGUUGGGCUGUUCGCCCAUUAAAGCGGUACGCGAGCUGGGUUUAGAACGUCGUGAGACAGUUCGGUCCCUAUCCGCUGCGCGCGCAGGAAACUUGAAGAGAUCUGUCCCUAGUACGAGAGGACCGGGAUGGACGAACCUCUGGUAUACCAGUUGUCCCGCCAGGGGCACCGCUGGUUGGCUACGUUCGGGUUGGAUAACCGCUGAAAGCAUCUAAGCGGGAAGCCAUCUCUGAGAUUAGGUUUCCAACACCCAUUUGGGUGUGAAGGCCCCCUAGAGACUAUGGGGUAGAUAGGCCAGGAGUGGAAGCAUCGUAAGGUGUUGUAAAGCUAACUGGUACUAAUCGGCCGACACC
rnacentral:rRNA from 1 species